rnacentral:rRNA from 1 species
CCGCAUGGUUCAAAAGUGAAAGACGGUCUUGCUGUCACUUAUAGAUGGAUCCGCGCUGCAUUAGCUAGUUGGUAAGGUAACGGCUUACCAAGGCAACGAUGCAUAGCCGACCUGAGAGGGUGAUCGGCCACACUGGAACUGAGACACGGUCCAGACUCCUACGGGAGGCAGCAGUAGGGAAUCUUCCGCAAUGGGCGAAAGCCUGACGGAGCAACGCCGCGUGAGUGAUGAAGGUCUUCGGAUCGUAAAACUCUGUUAUUAGGGAAGAACAUAUGUGUAAGUAACUGUGCACAUCUUGACGGUACCUAAUCAGAAAGCCACGGCUAACUACGUGCCAGCAGCCGCGGUAAUACGUAGGUGGCAAGCGUUAUCCGGAAUUAUUGGGCGUAAAGCGCGCGUAGGCGGUUUUUUAAGUCUGAUGUGAAAGCCCACGGCUCAACCGUGGAGGGUCAUUGGAAACUGGAAAACUUGAGUGCAGAAGAGGAAAGUGGAAUUCCAUGUGUAGCGGUGAAAUGCGCAGAGAUAUGGAGGAACACCAGUGGCGAAGGCGACUUUCUGGUCUGUAACUGACGCUGAUGUGCGAAAGCGUGGGGAUCAAACAGGAUUAGAUACCCUGGUAGUCCACGCCGUAAACGAUGAGUGCUAAGUGUUAGGGGGUUUCCGCCCCUUAGUGCUGCAGCUAACGCAUUAAGCACUCCGCCUGGGGAGUACGACCGCAAGGUUGAAACUCAAAGGAAUUGACGGGGACCCGCACAAGCGGUGGAGCAUGUGGUUUAAUUCGAAGCAACGCGAAGAACCUUACCAAAUCUUGACAUCCUUUGACAACUCUAGAGAUAGAGCCUUCCUCUUCGGGGGACAAAGUGACAGGUGGUGCAUGGUUGUCGUCAGCUCGUGUCGUGAGAUGUUGGGUUAAGUCCCGCAACGAGCGCAACCCUUAAGCUUAGUUGCCAUCAUUAAGUUGGGCACUCUAAGUUGACUGCCGGUGACAAACCGGAGGAAGGUGGGGAUGACGUCAAAUCAUCAUGCCCCUUAUGAUUUGGGCUACACACGUGCUACAAUGGACAAUACAAAGGGCAGCGAAACCGCGAGGUCAAGCAAAUCCCAUAAAGUUGUUCUCAGUUCGGAUUGUAGUCUGCAACUCGACUACAUGAAGCUGGAAUCGCUAGUAAUCGUAGAUCAGCAUGCUACGGUGAAUACGUUCCCGGGUCUUGUACACACCGCCCGUCACACCACGAGAGUUUGUAACACCCGAAGCCGGUGGAGUAACCUUUUAGGAGCUAGCCGUCGAAGGUGGGACAAAUGAUUGGGGUGAAGUCGUAACAAGGUAGCCGUAUCGGAAGGUGCGGCUGGAUCACCU